UAAUCUUCUAAAUCCCUAAUCCACAACCUAAACUAUUCCCAGCCGUCGCCUCCUCUGCCCAUUCCGUAAGUUCUCCAUUCCUUUGAACCGCUGGAGUAGGAACCCAAAAGCAGCUCCUUCUCCCACAAGCCUCGACAAUUUGAGCUCUGAUCUAGUUCCCAAAAGGAAAUUAUCUUUCAAGAACAAAGCUCCAAAGAAAGACCCCGGCCUUGAUUCAAACAGAGAGAAAGAGGCUAAAAUUGUCAAACCAGAGAAAAUGGGCUACACGGUUCCGGAUUCGCCUAGGUUUCGAAACAAGACGGGCGAGGUUUUGGUGAUUAAAUUCAAUGGUUCUCAGAUUGGUGAGUUUAUAAUUUCGGACCUUGAUUCUUGCGAGGUGAGGUUUAUUGGCUGUGUGAGAGCAUUUUUUGUUCACAGGCUUCAGAAUUGUUGAGUCUAUGGAGGUCCUGUAAUGAAUUCAAUUACGUUCGAGCAAGUUGAGGGGUGUGUUUUCGUAAUGGCGUCUCAUCAGAUUCGAAUGCAUGAAGCCAAGGCCACUGAUUUUUAUCUUAGAGUCAGGAGCAGGCCCAUAAUUGAGGACAGUAGUGGUGUGAGGUUUCCUUCUUAUUAUAUUUUGUGCUCUAAUUAUGUGCUUGUGGUGGUAGCCAAGUGAGAUCUAAUUCUGAUAUUAACUACAGAAGCUACAAAGCUAGAGACUUUGUUCCUUUAUAUGUCAGCAAAAUGGGGCCGUUUCAAAAUCCCAGUGAAACAUACCACUAUUUUGAUCUUCCAUUCUGUAAACAAGGUAUUUUCAUCUAUAACUUAUGUUUUUCUUUUCCUCUAAUAUGUUUUCUAUAACUUUUAUAUAUAUAUAAAAAAUUCUCUGUAUCUCUAUCAUAAUGACAGAUUAUUUCAAGUAAAAGAAGCAAACUUUUGGUGAGAUGUUAAAUGGAGAUCAUCUCAUCAACGCACCAUAUGGGCUUGAGUUUCUAGUAGAGAAAAAUUUCCUAGUGGCAUGUUCGAAAAAGUUGACUGAGGAACAAGUUUCUCAAUUUAAAAAUUGUCAUUCAUCACAAACCACCUCUAUUUUGCUUUUAGAUUUCAUGGAUUAUUGUAUUAUAAUUGCUUAACUGCAUAUUUACAGUGUGAGUACUAAUAUUUAGAAAUCAAAAGUGAGUGAUACUUGAAAUGACAUCUCUUAUCUCAAAUGUGGCACCAAAAGAUUAAAUGAAUGAAAUUAGAGUAUAGAUGCAUUUGAUGUGCUAAUAAUCCACAUUUUUCAAUUGAUUGUUAUAUAAUUUCAAAUUUUAGCAUUAUUUAGAUUCUAAGGUUGUCCUUAGGAUGUUGGAAAAGGGAUUAUAGUUCUACCAAGGUUGUUUUCUUCUGCUUUUACUUGGUAUUCCUCAACUUCUAACGACUUAAGAGAAAAAUCAAAUCAAUGUAUCUGUGCUUUUCUCUGUUUUUCUUUUCUGCACUCUGCUGUUUUUCAGUUUGGCUUUAAUUGAUUAUGUUUGUUCAAUACACAAUUAGUAAUUCCUUAAAUUUCUUAUCAGUGGAAGCAAUUUCAUUGGGUACUUCAACUUUAUGGGUGACACAUGGUAAAACAUUUGAGACAUGGAUUUGUCCGCUUGCCCAUUUUCUUUGUGGCUAUUGCACAGAUGUUCUAAGGUAUAUAUGUUCUUUUGAAGUUUAUGUGGUAUAUCUAGAUUUAUUAUUAUAAUUUAUAAGAAAAGCCUUUGGUCAAAUUUUUUUCUUCAAGAUUAUCAUAAUAAUAUAACAACAAAUUUAUUAGAUUGUAUUUCCUGCUUUCAGAUUAUGCUAGGAGAUUGUGUUUUUGAAAGUUGAAGUUGUAGAGCUUCUAUUACCAAGUAUUUUUUUAAAUCUAACCAGGAGGAGAGACUUAGAUAUUGAUAUUCAACAAUUGAUAUCCUUGUAGGUUUUUUUUUCUUCUUUCUCUUUUUUCAUUAGUUUAUUUUUUGUUUUCUGUCAUUUCAUGUAUUGAAACUAUAAUAAUGCUGAAUGAUUGUUGUAAUUUUUUAUUUUUUAAAAAUAAAUGACCUUUGUAUGAAAUUAAAUAUAGGAAACAGAUAACUCUAAGCAACUAAAUAUAGGAAAUAAAUAUUGUCGACUUCUUUAUGGAAGAAGGUAAUUUUUCAUGCAAAUAUGCUAAUGCAACACUUUUUUUUGGUUGGUUUUACUUUUUUCUUUGGAACUGGCUACAGCAACAAUUUGGCCUUCUAUUUUGUUUAAUGCAUUAAUAUUCUAAGUUCAUGAUGUGGCUUUUAGUUUCUGUUACUUCAUACAUCCUUCAUCCUUGGUUUUUCCUGUGUGGAGUUGAAGACCACAUCUUUGAUUGAACUGUUAAAUGUAAUGCAGGCAAAGAAUAGUCAUUUGCAUCUAGCCUCUAAGUAGAUUUUAUUCUCUUUAUAUUUUUAACCAUUUACCAUACUUCUUGUAAACUUUAGUUGUCUUUACUUAGAAAAUAUAAAAUAUAGGUAUACAUGGGUUCUUAUAGAACAAGGGCUAUAGACACCAACAGGUAACUAGUAGAAGAUCAGAAAACUAAGGCAUAUUUACAAUAGUGAGUAAUAAUAUGUACAACAAUUAAUAAAAACACAUUCAGUAAUAUUAUUAGUGAAUCUUUCUUUUUCAAUACUACAUAUAUAUGGAUCUGACACAGUGCUUUUCUACAAUUGAUUUGUUACUUUUGAAAUUAAUAUAUGUGAUACUUUGUUGCUUUCUUUCUCAUUUUCUGACAAGUUUAUGUUCCCAGGUGUUUUGGCUUUCUAUUAAUUAUCUUGCAGUUGCAAAGUCCGCAGUUCUCAACAUAUUGAGAUACUUGUCUCAGCAGUCACUCAUAUCAAUGAACCUGACAGCUUAUAUGGGAUCAUUCUGUCCAACAAGUAUGAGGCUGCUUGGCAUGCUGGAAACUGGAAUUUUUCCUUGCUUUACAUGGGAGAUAAUUCACAGAGUGAGCAAAACUAAAAGUGGCCAUUUCAAUGAAAAUCUGCACAGAUAUUUCGACUGGUUUCCCUGUGGUUCACUCUAUCAGAUAGACAAGACAUCAUAACUAACAUUGCUGAUAAAGUCAUAAUUAGCUAAGAAAAUGGACUCACAACAAAGACAAGUGCACAAAAGAUGAUGAAUUGAAGGAUGGAGCAAGUUUCAUGCAUGGUUUACUUUUGUGUAUCUUGUAAUGUUUCUGUUUUUCAUUUUUGAAGUAAAAAUUGUUCAAGAUUAUAAAAUUUUAUUAUGUUAUGCUUUCAAACUUAAGUUAGAACUAAGAUCUCAUUAAGUAGGCACAUUCAUGGUUUAAAUUAGUUAUUGUUUAAUGUAAUACUUAUUGUUUAUCAAUCUAUUGAGAAUUACAUUUUAUGAUUAA